GAGGAAUAUUGGGCAAUGCCCGCAAGGGUGACCCAGCAACGCCGCGUGGAGGAUGAAUGUCGUAAGAUUGUAAACUCCUGUUAGAGGGGAAGAAUAGUACCGGUUGGACCGGUAUAUGACUGUACCCUCAGAGAAAGCCCCGGCUAACUGCGUGCCAGCAGCCGCGGUAAUACGUAGGGGGCAAGCGUUGUCCGGAUUUACUGGGUGUAAAGGGCGCGCAGGCGGGAUAAAAAGUCAGUGGUGAAAUCCUACAGCUUAACUGUAGAACUGCCUUUGAUACUUUUAUUCUUGAGUUCGGGAGAGAGAGACGGAAUUCCAGGUGUAGUGGUGAAAUACGUAGAUAUCUGGAAGAACACCAGUUGCGAAGGCGGUCUCUUGGUCCGACACUGACGCUGAGGCGCGAAAGCGUGGGGAGCAAACA
rnacentral:rRNA from 1 species